GGCUGCGGAUAUAAGAGGCGGGGCCGGGCAGGCUGACUGUUGGUAUCGCGUGGAGUUGGGCUUUUGCUUUCCUAGACCUUAGUCCGUGGGACGCUCGAGCUGCUGCCGGUCGAAGGACUUGCCUUCCGAUUCCUGUGCGACCAGCUGUGACCGUUUGCGGGCCACUCCCGGCCUUCCCCCUCGAGGUGAGUGGCUUUCCCGGCUCCCCGCCCCCAUCCUCCGAGCUGCGUGCUGGGCUGGCCGCCUCGUGGACUGGGGCUGGGCCGCCAGGAGCUUUGGCUUCUUGUCUCUACCAGUCAGCCGCCCCAACCCGUUUUCCUCUAAAAUGGACUGGGUUUCCGGUAGCCCACCCCUUGCUUGCUGGUGUUUGGAUUAGGCGUCCCUGUCACGCCCCCCAAAAGCACCCUCAGCAUAUUUUUCCUAUCCUAGCGUGUAGCUUGUUGUGUCGUAACUAACUGUCCAGUGAGGGCAUGGUUUGAGUCUGUGGGGUUAUCUUGUGGCCCUAGUACCUUCUGGGGUGCCUUACACUCUUAAGUAUUCAGGGUAUAUUUCUUGAGUAAAUGAACUGAUAGAUUUGACUCUUAAGGUUAUUUUAACUUUCAAAAAAUUUAUGAUUAACUGGAAUCUAACAGUAAAAUGGGAGAGACUUCUUGGUAAGUUGCCUUGUCUAGGGUAUGUUCUUAUAUUUCCCCCUUUCCCCUGCAAGAAGGCUCUACCUCUGCUACAGGUAGCUGCACUGUAGCAUAGGGUCUGUGCAUUGUACCUGCCAAGAACAGUCUUAAAGAGAAGUAGAAGUUUUAAGUAGUACUCUUCAAUUAGAGAAGCAAGUGAGGCUCUACAGUAGUGGAGUUUGCAGUGCAAAUUUAUGUACUUGGAGAUUUUGUUGUGGGAAAACUGUUGGCCACUGACUCCCUGGCUGGCCAAGCCUCUCAUUUACUCCUGGGAGGACAGAAGUGUUGGGGCAUGAUGCAUGUAGAUCUCCAAAGGCUGAAGAUUAACCCCUUCCUUUCUUUCCUCAGGAUCCAGAGACCAUCCAGAAGUAGAAGGCAGCACUACUGCUCUGCAAAGGAGUGGGGUACUUUCAGCCAUGAAGAAUAUGUUGAUCCUUUACCUGCUAGGUGUGGUGUUGACCCUACUGUCCGUCUUUGUUAGACUGAUGGAGACUUUGGGGGCCUUAGUGGAGAGCCCAUUGCCAGGGAGUACAUGGAACACCAGAGGUCAACUAACCAACACAGAGUCCCCCAAGGGCCUACCAGACCAUCAAUCCAGAGGGGUGCAGUAAAACCAUCCUCUGCAUCAGCCAUACCUUGGAACAUAGACCUCAGCAAUGCCAGGCAAGUUUCCCAUUUACUAGCAGGCAAGCUCACACCACCAGUGUUUCCAGAGAACUGUUACUAGGCACAGACAGACCUGUUUGGAUAUGCUCCUUGCCCUGGGGGGUGGGGGGAGCCUGUUUAAUGCACAGAUGUGCAUGGGUUGCCUAUGGCUACGGGAUGGAGUGAACUUGCCCUUCUCCCCAGGAUCGGCUGUAUGCUUUGCUGUCCUUCACUGUGUGGAUCUUGACACAUCUGAGAUGUGGACUUGUGCUGCACUUUCAGCUGUUGGGAGAUGGUGGUGUUUUCAAUCCAGCAUCCUAAACAUCUGCCAAAGGUUUCUUUGGACAUGAAUGUCUUGUGGUCAGUUUAUUUGGUGGUCAGUUUUUUCUUCCUGAGAGCGCCUCUGUUUCUGGGUAACUAUUAAGGUGUGUGCAUUGGCUACAAGGAAGGAGAUGAUAGAAUAUCCACUGUUUAAUUCUCAUUGUCCUAUAUUUUUGUAAGUUCUUUCUCCAACAUAGAGUGCAUGUGUUUGUGUAUGUUGGUCUGAAGAGGGCAGUGGGAUGACAAAGCCUGCUUAGAAUGUGGGCAUUUUGGCCACUAUGUGGUUUAAAUGAAUUUUUUGAUGCAAUAAAGUUGAAAAAGUAUUUCCACUGUGUUAUUUUGACUUCUGACCUUGAAAUUAGUGAUAGGGAAGAGUUUUAAUUCCUAGUCUAAGGAUUAACAUCUUAAAACUUCAGAACAGGAAA
rnacentral:lncRNA from 1 species